CUCUUAUUCGCUGAUGGUACUGCGAGUUCGUGGGAGAGUAAGUUAUUGCCAGGGUUUUUAUUUUGUACUUUAAACCUUAAAUUUAUUUUUUAUAUUUUUUUAAUGUUCAUGUUUUUGAAUGUUUUAUUCAAAUAAUGUAAAAAAUAAAAUAGAUAUUGACAUGGAUUGAACAAAAGAUAUAUAUUAUUUUAUGUUGCAUAAACAAAUUGGCAAAAUAGAGAUGGAAGAUAAAAAUAUGGUCAAAGUAAUAAGAGUCUAUGGUGAAUGCCUAGGAGCUUUAAG
rnacentral:misc_RNA from 1 species